UGAAUUCUGGGGUUACUCUUCUGCUGUUGCAUGUCUUGUAGAUCUAGAUCUACCUCUUGAGGUAAUCUGUCAAUUAUCUAGGCCCCAAAGUAGGUAAAAAUUAUAGCACAACCUUGGAAGUAGAGAAAUGAAAGUCCCUAAAUAUGAUCAAGUCCACAGCUGUAGUGUUACGUAUUGGCAAAAUCUUGAUUUUCACAGAAAUUGUAGCUAGAAGUGCGUUUCUGUGGAUGGGUGGUUAAAGUGAUUAAGGCUUUUAAACUUACGCUCUUGUGUUGCUGUUGCUUGUCAGGACGUAGUUCUGUAUAAUUUUGAAAUCAUCUAUUCACUUCUCCUGCACAGGGGUUUUGCAGCAGAUUUAGUGAACCAUGUCGUAAGUUUUAUUUACGUUUAUUUUCCUGGGUUUUCUUUACAAAACAAGUGUUAGCCAUGACAACAUACUAAGGAAUUAAACCUGCUGAAACUUACUGCAUUCCUCAUGCUAUUAAGGAACUCUAGGAUUAGUCUGGCUGCUGUCUUGAGUGUUUAAUUAAGGACGAUUUUUGUGUUGUUAGUUCCUGAAGAUAAUGAAAUGUUUUCAAGUUAACUGUUUCAUAUUGUGAACAGUCAUCGUGUUUCUUUAAAAAGCUUCUGUGCAGACUAAAGCAUCUCCUGCUAUUAAGUGGAAACAUUAACUCUGUGUAAGUGAAAUUAAUAACUGAAUUAAGAGGGGAAUCUAUCUUUUUAGCUGAAACACCCCAGGAACUUCCCAGAGAUGCUCUGGGAAUGCUGUGCCCUUUUCCAGCAGUCUCCCUGAUUUAAGGGAUGAUGUAUUGCCAGAACAAUUUGUGUGAGUCAAGAUUGCACGAUAAAGCUUUAACUUUUAUUUUACGGUAUAUUUUAGAAAACCACAUCACUAAAAUUAUGGCCUUUUGCAUUAAAAUUCAUGUUAACUAUAAUUUCAACCCAAUUCUUACAUAGAUUCUGGGGGAAACGUUGUCUCUUGAUACCAAUAACCCUGAUAAGCUUGUCUGAAGCUUUUUUUUUUUUUUUUUUUUUUCUAGAGAGAGAUGUUGCUAGGGAAAUCUUCGUGCAUGGGCAAAUGUGGUUAGAAAUAUUAAUGUCCUGCCAGUUUUACCUCCUAUCUUAGCUCUAUUCAUCAGCGUGAUCUGCAAGAGAAAGGCAAAACCAUUUUGGACUGAAUAAUCUAGCACGGUUUUAGCACUGCCAGCGUGCAAGCUGGAGACCAGCGUGGAAUCUGCUCAUGAUAAGCUCUCGUUUCAGAGUUAAACUGGUUCAGGCUUGUUCCUAUCUUUGUGUGCAAAGGGUCCGAGGGGAGAGACGUACAGAAGGAAAACGGAAAGAAAAACAUGAAGAAAAUAAUCGGGUUCUGUGAACGCCAUCUCCCAUGUCUACAGAGAGCAAGAACCCCUGAAGGGUUUUUACACUUUGAACUUUUAACAUUCAGUGUGGACCACUGUUUCCAGGGCAGGACUGUCAGGCAAGGAAAGAAAGACUUUGAUUCUGUUCUGGUGUUUAACAGCUUAACUUAACUACCCUCCAUUUUACAGAAUGUUGAUUUGAAUAAUGAAACAAGGCAUUAUGAGCAAUACAUGAAAACAGUUUGGAUGUGCCAGGGGAAUAACAAGGGCUAAGAGUGCAUAAAGCGAACAGAAUCUUGCCUUUGUGUUGCCUCAUAACUGAGUGAAGAGGAAAUCCAGCUUGCUUUUUAACAGGAAGGGGACCAGGAUUUCAGUACUCUUACUAGUUAUAUAGCUUGAUUUUCUAAGUACUUCCACUUUACUCAGUCUUUACAGAACUCUAUUCUUUUGAAGUAUUCAAAAUAUUCUGAUCCUGAACCCUUUGCUCAGUUUCAGGUUUCUGUAAAACGUAAGAAAGUAUCUCCACUUUCCUGGCUUACCUCUUUGAAGAAAACUAAAAAUAUUAUUUCUCUUCUGAGGGACUUCUCAUUACCUAAAAGCCACAUGAAUCAAUGGAGAAAUAACCGUUCUCUGAGGCAAGACUCAUCACUAACGGGAGAGAAGAAUCUGAAGAGCUCGCUCCAAGCCCAACCCACCCCUACCUAAAUUGCACCCACUGCAGGACCUUGGCUUGGCUCUCAGUCUCAUGUUGUAGUCAUGGGUCUGACUUGGGCAGUCCCACAGUUCAAGGAGCUGCUGCUGCUGCUGCACUGUCUGUGGAGCAGAGAAUUUGUCUAGAUCUGUAUGCUGAUAGAGCUGUGAGUGACCUAGAACUACACAUCCUGCCGCAUGGAUUCCCCAAAAAUAAGGUAACUUUUUAACUAGGUGCUGCUCUCCCCGCUGGCCAUGCUACGUGAGUACCUUGA